GUAUUUGUAUUAUAUUUGACCUGAUUAUAUGAGAGUUACUACUAUUUCAAUAAGAAUACAAUCAAGUUAAUCGUAUCUUAGCGCGGAGUGUGAUUCCGCAGGUUCUUUGUUAUGAGGAUUAGCGCGUCUAAUUAAGGAAAGUUUGUGGCACUGUGGCGCAACAAUGCUAGAAGUCAAUGGGUCAACAUUUUGUAAAGUUUUGAGAAGCAUAAGUUUGUCAAAUCAGAGUACUGUAUUGCCAGUAUUGGCAAGGACUUGCUAUAGGCAGGGCUAAAUGCAGAGAUACAGAGUUGCAUCCUAGCAUGAAGCUUGUGCAAG